rnacentral:ncRNA from 1 species
ACGUGGACUAUGAUGCGGAACAGUAAUCGUUUCCCGCGGGCAAAGAGAGCCCCCGUUUUGCUGAAAGGGGGAGCCGCGGUGCGGUGAAGCUCGCCGCGGAGUCUGCCGCGGCAAUGCGCGGCGCGUUCCUCGCGUUACAGGGGGCUAAAGCGGGCGGUUUAUGCCGCCAAGCGGAGUGGUACCGCGGAAAAAUGUUCCGUCUCUUGC